rnacentral:lncRNA from 10 species
GCCUGCUGUUCUUAUAACAAGGGGAAAUUUGGAGGCACGCACCUGGAAGAAUGGCAUGUGAAUAGACACAGGGAGAAGGUGACCGUCUGCAAGCCAAGGAGAGAGGCCUCAGGAGAAACCAACUCUGCCAACACCUUGAUCUUGGACUUCCAGCCUCGAGACUGUGAGAUAAUAAAUGUCUGUUGUUUACGACACUCAGCUUGUGGUACU